GUACAUGUGAGAGGGGAUGCAGUGUGUCUGUGUGAGGGGCGCAGAGUACAUGUGAGAGGGGAUGCAGUGUGUAUGUGUGAGGGGUGCAGAGUACAUGUGAGAGGGGAUGCAGUGUGUCUGUGUGAGGGGCCCAGAGUGCAUGUGAGAGGGGAUGCAGAGUACAUGUGUGAGGGGUGCAGAGUACAUGUGAGAGGGGAUGCAGUGUGUCUGUGUGAGGGGCGCAGAGUACAUGUGAGAGGGGAUGCAGUGUGUCUGUGUGAGGGGCGCAGAGUACAUGUGAGAGGGGAUGCAGUGUGUCUGUGUGAGGGGCGCAGAGUACAUGUGAGAGGGGAUGCAGUGUGUAUGUGUGGGGGGUGCAGGUACAUGUGAGGAGGGGAUGCAGUGUGUGUGUGUGAGGGGGCCCAGGUGCAUGUGAGGAGGGAUGCAGGUACAUGUGUGAGGGGUGCAGAGUACAUGUGAGAGGGGAUGCAGUGUGUCUGUGUGAGGGGCGCACAGUACAUGUGAGAGGGGAUGCAGUGUGUCUGUGUGAGGGGUGCAGAGUACAUGUGAGAGGGGAUGCAGUGUGUCUGUGUGAGGGGUGCAGAGUACAUGUGAGAGGGGAUGCAGUGUGUCUGUGUGAGGG
rnacentral:lncRNA from 1 species